AGCGAACGCUGGCGGUAGGCCUAACACAUGCAAGUCGAACGGCAGCACAGUAAGAGCUUGCUCUUACGGGUGGCGAGUGGCGGACGGGUGAGGAAUACAUCGGAAUCUACUUUUUCGUGGGGGAUAACGUAGGGAAACUUACGCUAAUACCGCAUACGACCUACGGGUGAAAGCAGGGGAUCUUCGGACCUUGCGCGAUUGAAUGAGCCGAUGUCGGAUUAGCUAGUUGGCGGGGUAAAGGCCCACCAAGGCGACGAUCCGUAGCUGGUCUGAGAGGAUGAUCAGCCACACGGGAACUGAGACACGGUCCAGACUCCUGCGGUAGGCAGCAGUGGGGAAUAUUGGACGAUGGGCGCAAGCCUGAUCCAGCCAUACCGCGUGGGUGAAGAAGGCCUUCGGGUUGUAAAGCCCUUUUGUUGGGAGAGAAAAGCAGCAGGUUAAUACCCCGCUGUUCUGACGGUACCCAAAGAAUAAGCACCGGCUAACUUCGUG
rnacentral:rRNA from 1 species